rnacentral:lncRNA from 1 species
AUGGCUCAAAUAAAAGAGCCAUAUUCUGAACAACAAUCACAAAACCGUUUUUCUUUUCUUCUUCUUCUUCUUUCUUCUUUCUUCUUUCUUCUUUCUUCUUUCUUCUUUCUUCUUCUUCUUCUUUCUUCUUCUUCUUCUUUCUUCUUCUUCUCCUCCUCCUCCUCCUUCUCCUCCUCCUCCUCCUCCUCCUUCUUCCUCCUCCUUCUUCCUCCUCCUCCUCCUCCUUCCUCCUCCUCCUUCCUCCUCCCUCCUCCUCCUUCCUCCUCCUCCUUCCUCCUCCUCCUCCUCCUCCUUCCUCCCUCCUCCUUCCUCCUCCUUCCUCCUCCUUCCCUCCUCCUCCUCCUCCUCCCUCCUCCUCCUCCUCCUCCCUCCUCCUCCUCCUCCUUCGUCCUCCCUCCUCCUCCUCCUCCUUCCCUCCUCCUCCUCCCCUCCUUCCCUCCUCCUUCCAUUCCAUUCCUUCCUUUCUUCUUUCCUCUUUUCCUUUCUUUCCUCCUCCUCCUCCUCCUCCUCCCUCCUCCUCCUCCCUCCUCCUCCUCCUCAUCCCUAUCCAUCAUCUAUCACUCCUCCUCCACCUCAUAUAUCCUCCCUCCUCCUCCUCCUCCUCCUCCUCCUCCACUCCUCCUCCUUCCUCCACUCCUCCUCCUUCCACUCCUCCUUCCAUUCCUCCUCCUCCCUCCCUCCUCCUCCUCCCUCCUCCUCUCCUCCUUCCUCCCUCCUCCCUCCCUCCUCCCUCCUCCUCCUCCUCCUCCUCCCUCCUCCCUCCUUCCUCCUCCUCCUUCCUCCCUCCUCCUUCCUCCUCCUCCUCCUCCCUCCUCCUCCUCCCUCCUCCUCCUCCUCCCUCCUCCUCCUCCUCCUCCUUCCUCCUCCUCCUCCUUCCUCCUCCCUCCUCCUCCUCCUUCCUCCUCCCUCCUCCUCUCCUUCCUCCUCCUCCUCCUCCUCCUCCUUCCCUCCUCCUCCCUCCUCCUUCCUCCUCCUCCUCCCUCCUCCUUCCUCCUCCUCCUCCCCUCCUUCCUUCCUCCUCCUCCUCCUCCUCCUUCCUUAUCCUCCCCUCCUCCCUUCCUCCUCAUCCUCCCUUCAUUUCAUCCUCCAUCAUCCCUCAUCCUUCCAUCACUCCUCAUCAUCCUUCCAUCAUCCCUCCUCCCCUUCCUCCUCCUCCUUCCUCCCCUCCUUCCUCCUCCUCCCUCCUUCCCCUCCCUCCCUCCCUCCCCCUCCCUCUCCUCUCUUCCUCCCCUCCCUCCUCCUCCUUCCUCCUCCUCCUCCUUCCCCUCCUCCCCCUUCCUCCUCCUCCUUCUUCCUCCUUCCCUCCCCCUCCCUCCCUCCUCCUCUCCUUCUUUCUUCUUCUUUCUUCCAAAUGCAGUUUUGUUAUGUGGAUAUAUUGUGUAG